rnacentral:rRNA from 1 species
ACAACAGUUGGAAACGACUGCUAAUACCGCAUAAGCCCACAGGUCGGCAUCGACCAGAGGGAAAAGGAGCAAUCCGCUUUGAGAUGGCCUCGCGUCCGAUUAGCUAGUUGGUGAGGUAAUGGCCCACCAAGGCAACGAUCGGUAGCCGGACUGAGAGGUUGAACGGCCACAUUGGGACUGAGACACGGCCCAGACUCCUACGGGAGGCAGCAGUGGGGAAUAUUGCACAAUGGGGGAAACCCUGAUGCAGCGACGCCGCGUGGAGGAAGAAGGUCUUCGGAUUGUAAACUCCUGUUGUUGAGGAAGAUAAUGACGGUACUCAACAAGGAAGUGACGGCUAACUACGUGCCAGCAGCCGCGGUAAAACGUAGGUCACAAGCGUUGUCCGGAAUUACUGGGUGUAAAGGGAGCGCAGGCGGGAAGACAAGUUGGAAGUGAAAUCUAUGGGCUCAACCCAUAAACUGCUUUCAAAACUGUUUUUCUUGAGUAGUGCAGAGGUAGGCGGAAUUCCCGGUGUAGCGGUGGAAUGCGUAGAUAUCGGGAGGAACACCAGUGGCGAAGGCGGCCUACUGGGCACCAACUGACGCUGAGGCUCGAAAGUGUGGGUAGCAAACAGGAUUAGAUACCCUGGUAGUCCACACCGUAAAC